ensembl:lncRNA
AUGAAGUUUGAUCUAAAUCAGAAAAUGUAUGUGGAUGUUAUUAGACAUUUCCUGUUUCUCAUUUUUUUUGCCCUAAUUUCAACGCCUCGCCAUGGACAAACCGUUCGAGAUAUCAAAAAUCCCCUGGCAAUUUUUCAUCCCCAAUGUCUUGAGAUCAUGUUCACCGAGUUUCGUGGAGAACGGGUGGAAAACCUCAGAGGAGUAUUUCAAAUUCCAGAGCAUGCUUUUUUGAAACAGCCCUGAAUAGCUGACUUCCUGUUGGGCGGAGCCUAUUGCAUGAAAAGUGAAAGUUGUUCGGCUCAAUGAGAUCUAUAAGUGUACAGAGUUUCAUAUAAAUACAUGCAAGUAUGUGUGAGCUAUACUUCAAGAUUUCUGACUGUGUUCCAGGGGGCGCCGUAGAGCCACUGUGCCACGCCCGGAUCCCAGCCUCUGCGGCAUCCUAACUAUCAUUAAUACUUAUAUGUGGUUUGAGUUUCAUGAAAUUCUAUGUAUGUUAUCUGCCUCAAAAUCACCAGAGAAGAAUAUUAAGGUUUGACAUGUUGCCAUGGCAACAAUAUUAUAGUUAUCAAUAUCCCCUCAACAGUUUUAUAUCGGCCAUGUUUUGUCAUUAUUCUGAUGAAGUUUGAAGCAAAUUGAGUAAAAAUACGAUGCUGAAUUCAAAGCAUUUUGAAAAUGACACACUUCCUGCUGCCAGUUGGUGGCGCUAUAACUUUGGAUCCUAAUAGUCACAUCAAUGUGAUCAGCAUCAUAAAACGAACAAACCCCUGAAGUUGGAUCAAGAUCAGAAAAUGUAUGUGGAUGUUAUUAGACACUUCCUGUUUCUCAUUUUUCGCCCUAAUUUCAACGCCUCGCCACAGAGAAACCGUUCGAGAUAUCAAAAAUCCCCUGGCAAUUUAGCAUCCCCAAUGUCUUGAGAUCAUGUUCACCGAGUUUCGAGGCAUACAGUUGAAAUUCCUCAGAGGAGUAUUUCAAAUUCCAGAGCAUUUGUUUUUCACAAAACCCUAAAUAGCCAACUUCCUGUUGGGUGGAGCUUAUGACAUGCAGUGCGAAAGUUGUUUGGUUUGAUGAGAUCUACAUGUGUACCGAGUUUCAGAUGUAUACGUGCAAGUAUGCAUGAUAUAUGGCCCUCAAUAUUCCAGGGGGCGCUGUGGAGCCCCUGUGCCACGCCCGUGUAUCAGUCUCUGCCCGGUCCUAAUGGCCGCAGGUUCCAGUGUGUGUGCCAAUUUUUCAAGACUUUUUAAGCAUGUUAAGGGCCCCAAAAGCCCCCGAGACGUUAGAAAAAAAUAAUAAUAAUUAAAGCUGCAAGCAGCGAUGAACGGGCCCUCGCACCCGGGCUCACCGCCAGCGGGUGGCUUUUGUAAAACAGCGAACGGCAAGAUAUAUGCGUUUUAAUGUGGUAAAUAGAAGAGAAAUAUGUCAAAGUCAUUUAUAUGUGCCAAUCUUCCAGCUGCCAGCUGGUGGCGCUAUGACUAUAACUGGAUUUCGGCAUGUACAUUUCUUCAGUCCAGCACUUUUAUCAAGCAUAUGAAAUUUAGUGCAGAUUGAACAUGGAAUGUUUGAGGUUAGUAUAAGGCAUGAGGUGUCCUAUUGACAACAGGUGGCGCUAUGAUUAUAACUGAAUAUUGGCCUUUAGAUAUCUUCAGGCCAUGACUCUUUCCAAAUAUUUGAAGUUUGGUGCAGAUUGGACAUUGCAUGUUUAAGUUAGUGCAAAACAAGCCAUUUUCCUGUUGCCAGCAGGUGGCGCUAUGAUUAUAGUGGAAUAAUGACCUUCAGAUGUGUUCAGGCCAAGACUCUUUUCGAACAUGUGAAGUUUGGGGAAGAUCGGACAUCUUAUGCCUGAGUUACAACAACUUCUAUUCCCAUGGCGAGACAUCAAACUUUGUCACGGCGCCAUGGCCACACCCUUUAAUGAAACCUCAAGAUGUUCACAAUUUAACAUCGCAAAGGCCUUUAGAUUAGACUGACCAAAAAAAAUUAUAAAAUGUCAUAAAAUAUCUAGGAGUAGUUUGUUACGGCGUAAAACAUGUCACUUCCUGUUGCCAGCAGGUGGCGCUAUAGCGAUAUCUGAAUAUUGGCAUGUAGAUAUAUUCAGGUCAGGAGUCUUCUCAAACAUGUGAAGUUUGGGGUAGAUUGGACAUUGUAUGUCUGAGUUAUAGCAACUUCCUUUCUCAUGGCGAAACAUCGAAAUUUGUAAGGCCGCCACAGACACGCCCUUAAACGAAACCUCAAGAUCUUCGCAAUUUAACAUCGCAAAGGCCUUUAGAUUACACUGACAAAGUUUGGUGUUGAUCUGAAUAAAUCUCUAGGAGGAGUUCGUUAAAGUACAACCCCUGAAAAUGGCAAAAACGACACAAAUUUUGCAUAGAAAAUUCAAAAUAACUGACUUCCUGUUGGGAUUCGAAUUUCGUACCAAGAGACUUUUUUUGUAGGUAUUGGUGUGUUACAUGUGUGUACCGUUUUUUGUACAUGUACGUGAAACGUAGCUCGAGGCGCACUCCGUUGAAAAUGUAUAGGUGGCGCUAUCGAGGCAUUUUUGCCACACCCAAUGGAAUAUUGGCCUUCAGAUUUGUUCAGGCCAGGACUCUUAUCGAAACAUGUGAAGUUUGGGCAAGAUCGGACAUUUUAUGCUUGAGUUACAAUAACUUUUAUUCCCAUGGCGAGACAUCGAACUUUGUGACGGCGCCAUGGACACGCCCUUUAACGAA